AAAGCAUUAUUUACAAACAGCGUUUCAUUCUUGUAGUACAUCUUUCAAAAGACAUCUUCAUCAAGCAGGUAAGAC
rfam:Equus caballus cont2.10525, whole genome shotgun sequence.